GAGGGGGUAUAUUGCUUUGCUCAUGUCGGUCUGUCGGUCGGUCUGUCGGUCGGUCUGUCGGUCCGUCCACCAGGUGGUUGUCAGACGAUAACUCAAGAACGCUUGGGCCUAGGAUCAUGAAACUUCAUAGGUACAUUGAUCAUGACUCGCAGAUGACCCCUGUUGAUUUUGAGGUCACUAGGUCAAAGGUCAAGGUCACGGUGACCCGAAAUAGUAAAAUGGUUUCCGGAUGAUAACUCAAGAAUGCAUACGCCUAGGAUCAUGAAACUUAUGGGUAGAUUGAUCAUGACUCGCAGAUGACCCCUAUUGAUUUUGAGGUCACUAGGUCAAAGGUCAAGGUCACGGUGACCCGAAAUAUUAAAAUGGUUUUCGGAUGAUAACUCAAGAACCCAUAUACCUAGGAUCAUGAAACUUCACAGGUAGAUUGAUCAUGACUCGCAGAUGACCCCUAUUGAUUUUGAGGUCACAAGGUCAAAGGUCAAGGUCACGGUGACCCGAAAUAGUAAAAUGAUUUUUGGAUGAUAACUCAAGAACGCUUUUGCCUAGGAUCAUGACACUUCAUAGGUACAUUGAUCGUGACUUGCAGAUGACCCCUAUUGAUUUUCAGGUCACUAGGUCAAAGGUCAAGGUCACAGUGACAAAAGUCGUAUUCACACAAUGGCUGCCAGUACAACGGACAGCCCAUAUGGGGGGCAUGCAUGUUUUACAAACAGCCCUUGUUC